rnacentral:ncRNA from 2 species
GGCAUAAAUAGAGGUGCGGGUAAAAGGGUAGCUUAAGGGUGUUAAGGGAAGGAACUCCCGAUAUCUUAAGCAAAGGGUUUACUCGCCGAAAGGGUGUGUUGGUUCCUCAGCAUAUCCUUGGGGGUAGGGUGUAAGCUCUAUCACUGUCAUGGCUGUGCCAUGAAGCGCUAUUUAUGCA